rnacentral:sRNA from 1 species
AUACAUCUGACGCUUCCCUGUUCUUCCCUGAUCUGUCCUGCAUGUCUCCAUACCUCUUCCAUCCACCUCAUCUCCCCACCUCACCUUUCUUUUUCUUUGUUUGGCUUUAUAUAGGUGCUGGGAGUCCCUACAGAGGAUACUUGGCCGGGAGUCUCCAAGCUACCUAACUACAAUCCAGAAUGGUUCCCACUGCCUACGCCUCGAAGCCUUCACGUUGUCUGGAGCAGGCUGGGCAGGGUUCCUGAAGCUGAAGACCUGGCCUCCCAGAUGCUAAAAGGCUUUCCCAGAGACCGCGUCUCCGCCCAGGAAGCACUUGUUCAUGAUUAUUUCAGCGCCCUGCCAUCUCAGCUGUACCAGCUUCCUGAUGAGGAGUCUUUGUUUACAGUUUCAGGAGUGAGGCUAAAGCCAGAAAUGUGUGACCUUUUGGCCUCCUACCAGAAAGGCCACCACCCAGCCCAGUUUAGCAAAUGGUGGUGAAAAGAAAGGGCGAGAUCACCAAGGUUCUUCCAGGGCUGUAUUUCUGCAGUUUCGGUUUUCAUUUGCUUCAGCUUACUAAGAAGCUUCAAAUCU